rnacentral:rRNA from 1 species
AAUCAACGCUGGCGGCGUGCCUCAGACAUGCAAGUCGAACGAUUAAAGCUCUCUUCGGAGAGUGCAUAGAGUGGCGCACGGGUGAGUAACACGUAAGUAAUCUACCUUUGGGUGGGAAUAACACCGAGAAAUCGGUGCUAAUACCGCAUAAUGCAGCGGCAUCGCAAGAUGACAGUUGUUAAAGAUUUAUCGCUUGAAGAGGAGCUUGCGGCAGAUUAGCUAGUUGGUAAGGUAAUGGCGUUACCAAGGCUACGAUCUGUAACCGGUCUAAGAGAACGGUCGGUCACACUGA